GCCUCCCUUCCCACAUAGGCCUGUGCUAUGUCCAGCUGUUUGUAGCUACGUAGACACAUGGGGCUGUUUUUGGCAUAUUCAUGGUACUGUUAAACUGAUCUGUCUUCCUAGAAUGUGUCCUCUGCCAUCUUCAUGCAAAAUAUCCUUUUGCUUGCUCAUCCUUCAAGACUCAAGAAUCAUCUUUUCUGCCAAGUCUCUUCUGAUAUUCCUAUAGCAGCGUCAGAAGAAUCCUCACAGACGUCUGAGAAAUCUUCGUUCUAUGGACCCUCCUUUGCAAGCAGCUUUCUAAGUCCCAUCUAGGAUUCUAAUUUCCGGACUUCCCUUCCACGUGGUCACCAGCCCUGGAGAAAUGAUGCCUGUAUGUGACUAAUGAAAGGCUCAGCUGGAAGUUGCCUGAUGAUGCUGAGUGAGGAAGAUGUCAGCCUGCCUCCUGCUGGCCGCCAGGAAGACCAGGGACUUCCAUCAGCUACUAAUUUAGCAGAGCCCAGAGUCUCCCUGUGUGUCCUUGAGCUGAGAUGCAGAAGAUCAAGUAUGAUCCUGCCUGGGUUCCAUGAGUUGCAGCAUUUGAUGAACGUGUGAACCUACUUCUAAAAAGAAACUCGAUUGAAAUUUUCAAGACUGUGAAAAAGUUUUCAAAAAUGGAA
rnacentral:lncRNA from 1 species